UAGCGGCAGGCCUAAUACAUGCAAGUCGAGGGGUAGAGAUGGGUUUACUCAUCUUGAGACCGGCGCACGGGUGCGUAACACGUAUGCAGCCUACCCUUUACUGGGGCAUAGCUCAGAGAAAUCUGAAUUAAUUCCCCAUAAUAUAAUUAGAUGGCAUCAUUUGAUUAUUAAAGCUGAGGCGGUAAAGGAUGGGCAUGCGUUGCAUUAGCUAGUUGGUGAGGUAAUGGCUCACCAAGGCUACGAUGCAUAGGGGUUCUGAGAGGAUGAUCCCCCACACUGGUACUGAGACACGGACCAGACUCCUACGGGAGGCAGCAGUAGGGAAUAUUGGUCAAUGGACGCAAGUCUGAACCAGCCAUGCCGCGUGCAGGAAGACGGCCCUCUGGGUUGUAAACUGCUUUUAUAUGGGAAGAAACCCCUGGAUGCGUCCAGGGCUGACGGUACUUUAUGAAUAAGGAUCGGCUAACUUCGUGCCAGCAGCCGCGGUAAGACGAAGGAUCCAAGCGUUGUCCGGAUUUACUGGGUUUAAAGGGUGCGUAGGCGGACCGAUAAGUCAGUGGUGAAAGCCCAUAGCUCAACUAUGGAACUGCCAUUGAAACUGCCGGUCUUGAAUUCGGUUGAGGCAGAUGGAAUAUAACAUGUAGCGGUGAAAUGCUUAUAUAUGUUAUAGAACACCGAUUGCGAAGGCAGUCUGCUAAGUCGACAUUGACGCUGAGGCACGAAAGCGUGGGGAGCGAACAGGAUUAGAUACCCUGGUAGUCCACGCCCUAAACGUUGAUUACUCGCUGUUGGCGAUACACUGUCAGCGGCUAAGCGAAAGCGUUAAGUAAUCCACCUGGGAAGUACGACCGCAAGGUUGAAACUCAAAGGAAUUGACGG
rnacentral:rRNA from 1 species